rnacentral:rRNA from 1 species
GACGAACGCUGGCGGCGUGCCUAAUACAUGCCAGUAGAACGCUGAAGGAGGAGCUUGCUUCUCCGGAUGAGUUGCGAACGGGUGAGUAACGCGUAGGUAACCUCCCUGGUAGCGGGGGAUAACUAUUGGAAACGAUAGCUAAUACCGCAUAAGAGUAGAUGUCGCAUGACAUUUGCUUAAAAGGUGCAACUGCACCACUACCAGAUGGACCUGCGUUGUAUUAGCUAGUUGGUGAGGUAACGGCUCACCAAGGCAACGAUACAUAGCCGACCUGAGAGGGUGAUCGGCCACACUGGGACUGAGACACGGCCCAGACUCCUACGGGAGGCAGCAGUAGGGAAUCGUCGGCAAUGGACGGAAGUCUGACCGAGCAACGCCGCGUGAGUGAAGAAGGUUUUCGGAUCGUAAAGCUCUGUUGUAAGAGAAGAACGAGUGUGAGAGUGGAAAGUUCACACUGUGACGGUAUCUUACCAGAAAGGGACGGCUAACUACGUG